rnacentral:rRNA from 1 species
CCUACGGGGGGCAGCAGUGAGGAAUAUUGGUCAAUGGACGGAAGUCUGAACCAGCCAUGCCGCGUGCAGGAAGACGGCCCUAUGAGUUGUAAACUGCUUUUGUACAAGGGUAAACCUGAAUACGUGUAUUCAGCUGAAAGUACUGUACGACUAAGGAUCGGCUAACUCCGUGCCAGCAGCCGCGGUAAUACGGAGGAUCCAAGCGUUAUCCGGAUUUAUGGGGUUUAAAGGGGGCGUAGGCGGAUUGUUAAGUUAGAGGUGAAAUGUCCGGGCUUAACUCGGGAACUGCCAUUAAUACUGUUGAUCUAGAGUGCAGAUGCGGUAGGCGGAAUGUGUGGUGUAGCGGUGAAAUGCUUAGAGAUCAUACAGAACACCGAUUGCGAAGGCAGCUUACCAAUCUAUAUCUGACGUUGAGGCACGAAAGCGUGGGUAGCAAACAGGAUUAGAUACCCCAGUAGUC